rnacentral:rRNA from 1 species
UAUACGGAGAGUUUGAUUCUGGCUCAGAACGAACGCUGGCGGCGUGGAUAAGACAUGCAAGUCGAACGCUGACAUUUAGGUAGCAAUAUUUGAAUGUCGGAGUGGCGCAAGGGUGUGUAACACGUGAGUAAUCUGCCGUGAAGUCUGGAAUAACUCGCUGAAAGGCGAGCUAAUGCCGGAUGUGAAAGCUGGGAGGCAUCUCUUGGUUUUCAAAGCUGGGGACCGCAAGGCCUGGCGCUUCAUGAUGAGCCCGCGGCCUAUCAGCUAGUUGGUAAGGUAACGGCUUACCAAGGCUAAGACGGGUAGCUGGUCUGAGAGGACGACCAGCCACACUGGAACUGAGACACGGUCCAGACACCUACGGGUGGCAGCAGUCGAGAAUUUUUCUCAAUGGGCGAAAGCCUGAAGGAGCGAC